CACAGAUGAGACCUCCAUAGUCACACAGCGACCUCCACAGCCACAUGCGACGUGACCUCCAUAGUCACACGAAGACCUCCAAAGCCACGUGGACGAGACCUCCAUAGUCACACACGACCUCCACAGCCACAUGGGACCAUGGGACGUGACCACCAUAGUCACCCAAAGACCUCCAUAGCCACACAGACGAGACCUCCAUAGUCACACAGCGACCUCCACAGCCACACAGACGAGACCUCCAUAGUCACACAGCGACCUCUACAGCCACAUGGGACUCGACCUCCAUAGUCACACAGAGACCUCCACAGCCACAUGGGACAUGACCUCCAUAGUCACACAAAGACCUCCACAGCCACGUGGACAAGACCUCCAUAGUCACACACGACCUCCACAGCCACAUGGGACCAUGGGACGCGACCUCCAUAGUCACACAGAGACCUCCACGGCCACAUGGACGAGACCUCCAUAGUCACACAGCAACCUCCAUAGUCACAUAGCGACCUCCACAGCCACACAGACGAGACCUCCAUAGUCACACAGCGACCUCUACAGCCACACGGGACUCGACCUCCAUAGCCACACAGCGACCUUCAGAGCCACAUGGACGAGACCUCCAUAGUCACACAGCGACCUCUACAGCCACACGGGACUCGACCUCCAUAGCCACACAGCGACCUCCACAGCCACACGGGACGCGACCUCCAUAGUCACACAGAGACCUCCACGGCCACAUGGACGAGACCUCCAUAGUCACACAGCAACCUCCAUAGUCACACAGCGACCUCCAUAGUCACACAGUAACCUCCAUGGUCACACAGCGACCUCCACAGCCACAUGGGACGCGACCUCCAUAGUCACACAGCGACCUCCACGGCCACAUGGGACGUGACCUCCAUGGUCACAGAGACCUCCACAGCCACAUGGAUGAGACCUCCACAGUCACACAGCGACCUCCAUAGUCACAUAGUGACCUCCAUAGUCACACAGCAACCUCCACAGUCACACAGCGACCUCCACAGCCACACGGGAUGUGACCUCCAUACUCCCACACAGACCUCCAUAGCCACACGGACGAGAGAGACCUCCAUAGUCACACAGCGACCUCCACAGCCACACGGAACGCGACUUCCAUGGUCACAUAGUGACCUCCAUAGUCACACAGUGACCUCCACAGCCACACGGGACGCGACCUCCACAGUCACACAGGAUGCAACCUCCACA
rnacentral:lncRNA from 1 species